GUACGGGGGGGCAAGCGUUGUUCGGAAUUACUGGGCGUAAAGGGCUCGUAGGCGGCCAACUAAGUCAGACGUGAAAUCCCUCGGCUUAACCGGGGAACUGCGUCUGAUACUGGAUGGCUUGAAUCCGGGAGAGGGAUGCGGAAUUCCAGGUGUAGCGGUGAAAUGCGCAGAUAUCAGGAGGAACACCGAUGGCGAAGGCAGCCCCCUGGCUAACACUGACGCUCAUGCACGGAAAGCCGGGGAGCAAACGGG
rnacentral:rRNA from 1 species